rnacentral:misc_RNA from 1 species
GCAAACUUGGUCAUUUAGAGGAAGUAAAAGUCGUAACAAGGUUUCCGUUGGUGAACCAGCGGAAGGAUCAUUACAGAGAUCGUGCCCUUCGGGGUAGACCUCCCACCCUGUGUUAUAUACAAUUGUUGCUUUGGCAGGCCGCCCUUGGGCGCUCGGCUUUGGCUGAGGUGCGCCUGCCAGAAGACCCCAACCCCGUGUUUUUAAUGUUGUCCGAUCUUUAAUUAAUUCGUUAAAACUUUCAACAACGGAUCUCUUGGUUCUGGCAUCGAUGAAGAACGCAGC